AAAAUCCUCCUGAAAAAAAUCUAGCCAAGAAACGUCAUCUAGUCCAGAUCGAAAAUAUCCUAAACAGCAUCCCUGGAGGCGAAAAGGUCAUAAAGGAAUACGCUCGCACAAAGUCUUUCAGAUGGCCAAAGACGUGACAUGGUGAAAAUCUUGGUAGCACAUUUAACAAAGGAACAUGGACCUUCCCCUUACUGAAGUUUGAAGCAAGAAUAUGCAAAGGGUAUUAUCUCCAUAUUCCCAUGCUUUGCUGACCCCAGGAGCAAGCUUGGUUAUGAGCAUUAUUACAAUGCAGAAGAUGGAAGUGGAUAUUUGGCGUGGAGAAUUAAAACUCAAGCAUCAGAGGGACGGAUAAAAUGCCCACGGCAACCACAAACAGGUGCAUGACUUGCAGAUUGAUUUGCAGAUUUUGGACUUCUAUUUGGUGAGGCGACCACUGCAAAGUUGUUGGAGAAGUGGUUUACCAACAUAAAACCAAAGGUUAUUGCACAGACCCGUGGCCUCAAACAGACUUGUAAGGUCCAAGACCUCAUCCAAAAUGCUGAAGUUGAAGAUGGUAACUAUUGUGCUAUACAUACAUGUGCUAUACAAGUUAUGAAUUCAUGAAAAUGGCUUUAGAACCAUAGUUUCAAUUGUAUUUUUUAUUGUAUUAUAUUUACAACAUAUAAUCCAUGCUUUUGUUAUUUAGAGUCCCAAAUGAAAACUAUUUUAAACUGUAAAUCUACAACUCGCAUACUAGGCCCUUGUGAAAACCCAUCUGAAAGCGCUCUAUUUUUACACACUAAUAUUGUACUUUAUAUACAAAAAAUUCUUCUUUUGUACUUCUUGAGAUAAUCUUAAGAACAUCUAAGUAUACUUGUCUGUACUAUGUCUGUACUAUUUUGAGACACCAUGAAUAUGAACUGAAAUAUGCUUAAAAUAUAUAUUAAAAAAAUGUAUUUAGGUACCGCUUGUAGUAAACUUAAACCCAUCUUUCAUACAAACAAGUGGUAAAUAAAUACAUUUUUUAAAUAUAUUUUAAGCACAUUUUAGUUUAUAUUCAUGGCGUCUCAAUAUAGCACAAUAAUUUUUAAGUUUAUUAAGUACAAAAUUAAUGUGCGAAAAGAGAGCAGUACAUUAUUGAAGUGCACUUCUUUUUCAGCUGGGUUUUCACAAGGGCCUAGUACGUGAGUUGCAGAUUUACACUUUUAAAUUGUUUUAAUUUGGGACUCUAAUAACAAACGAAUGGUUUACAUAUUGUAAAUAACGUUUAAAGGGGACAUAUGAAAAUCUGACUUUUUCCUUGUUUAAGUGCUAUAAUUGGGUCCCCAGUGCUUCUAUCAACAGAGAAAAUGUGAAAAAGAUUAACCCAGUAACUUAGUUUUGAUAAACCAUUCUCUGCAAGUAUGUGAAAAAAUAGCUCAUUGAAAUGUGGCUCCCCUUGUGAUGUAAGAAGGGGAUCUUACUAUAAUUAUACUACCUCUUAAUCUGCACUAUUCAACCACUGCCAUUUAGUGCAGCUCAUUUGCAUUUAAAAGGAUACACCCAAAAUCAACACAUAUUUGCUCACAUCUACAAAGUGUCAAUUUUAACAUGUUAUAAUAAAUUGUCUAUAUGGUAUUUUGAGCUAAAACUUCACAUACAUACUCUGGGACAGCAAAUAUUUAUUUCACAUCUUAAAGUCUUGUGAAAUGUCUCCUUUAACUGUAUUUCCUCAUUUCAGUAUUUGUAGUAGUUUGUUUCUGCUUUGUUUAUUGUACCAUAUUAUUUCAUGUAAUUCUUUAUCUCCUCUGUUGUAUUAUCAUUUAUAUUAUUUUAGUGUUGUUGUCAUGAAUUGUA